rnacentral:rRNA from 1 species
CACGUAGGGGGCGAGCGUUGUCCGGAUUUAUUGGGCGUAAAGAGCUCGUAGGCGGCUCAGUAAGUCGGGUGUGAAACCUCCAGGCUCGACCUGGAGACGCCACCUGAUACUGCUGUGACUCGAGUCCGGUAGGGGAGCGUGGAAUUCCUGGUGUAGCGGUGAAAUGCGCAGAUAUCAGGAGGAACACCAGCGGCGAAGGCGGCGCUCUGGGCCGGAACUGACGCUGAGGAGCGAAAGCGUGGGUAGCAAACAGG